rnacentral:misc_RNA from 1 species
AACGCACCUUGCGCUCCUUGGUAUUCCUUGGAGCAUGCCUGUUUGAGUAUCAUGAAAUUCUCAAAGUCAAUCUUUUGUUAAUUCAAUUGAUUUGUGCUUUGGACUUGGAGGUCUUUGCGGAUUAAUAAUCUGCUCCUCUUAAAUUCAUUAGCUGGAUCUCAGUAUAUGCUUGGUUCCACUCGGCGUGAUAAGUUAUCACUCGCUGAGGACACUGUAAAAAGGUGGCCAGGAAAUACAGAUGAACCGCUUCUAAUAGUCUAUUAAAUUAGACAAUUCAAUUUUAAGAUCUGAUCUCAAAUCAGGUAGGACUACCCGCUGAACUUAA